GCCAUGCGCUGGAACCAACAAAAAGUUUGACAACUUGGCUUCUACCCUUGCCCGCCGAUAUCGGAAGGCCACAAUAGCCCUGCAAUGCCAGUUGCAUAACCUGGAGGCCAUGAAAACGGAAAUGGACGUCUCAGACAAUCAACUGGAGAGGUGGAUCAUUGAUAUCAAUGAGUGGGCAGAAGCAACAACAUCCCCAAAUGAUGCUGAUGUUGCCGCUGUUGCCAGCCGAAUUGAGGAGCUGGUGGCAAGUGUUAAGAGGAGGUCCCAGCGUCUUUACAAGGAUAGUGACGGAUGCAAAGGGACGUGCCCGAAUCCGCCGAAAGAUCAGGGAGGAAAAAUCUUAAAUUCUGUAGUGGAAAAAGUACAACACCUUGGUUCCUAAUGCAGAAAAAAACUGUCAUUGGACACCAUUCUAUCUGACGAGAUUGUUUGGCCAUGGCAGCUUACACACGGUGGUAUGUACACAAUUCCAUUGUCACAUAGUGGGACAAAAAUCUGUCAUGCCUCGAUUUUACACCUGAAAAUCUCUAAAUACUAAUCUCAAAUACAACCGACUUAUGUUUCAUCUAUGUAUUCCAGACUCUGUUGAUCUAAGGACAAAGAGGAAGGCGUUCGACAUUGUGAUGGCAGUAAGGAGACUUGAGGAGGAGAAGAGGAUUCUUAUUGCAGAGAUGAACAAGCAUUGGAAGUCUCUUUGCUCCCGUGCAGACACCCUGAAGCAGAUGUCAUCCAAGCUUUCUAAUGUGACAUCAGGUGAGACUUGGGGCCUGCUUCAAGAUGGUAUCCGAGGUCUACAAAGCUUGACGAUGAAGAACAAGCGAGCAAGCAACAGCCUGGCAAAGCAUGCAAAGAAAUAUUAUGUUCAAGUUCUGACUGAAACAGAAAUUAACUUUGAUAGUGAUUCUGAGGAAUACCAUACCAGUAGUGACUCUGAGCAAGAUUAAACAUGGCCAGAGUCCUUUUUAUGCUGUUGUGUGCUGGGGAGGCAGCAUUAAAGAAGAGGGCCGCUGGGACAGGUUGUUAAGGAAAGCUGGCUCUGUGUUUGGCAUGGAGCUGGAGUUAAUUAUUUAACAAACUGAGGAUAAUUUGCAGUAGCAGUCUUCUGUCAUGCUCAACAUUGAGGAGGUCCUUUGUCCCCAGGGCAUACCAGCAACUCAAUGUCACAGAAAAGGUUAGGGGAGAAAUUGACUUUUCAGCAUGAGUCUCACCCUGCGCCAACCAUUACAUCGCUUUGUCUAUUGUCUAGUAUCCACUAUCCAUUUGACUGUCUUACAGGCUACAUUAGCCCCUCUACACAUUCUGAACUGUGGUUUCAACAUUUACCCCUGUUGGCUUGUAUAAUCUUUUUUUCUUUUUUUAUAUAUAUUUAAGUUUCUGUUUUUUUCUAUCUAUUUUAACUUCUUUGUAUUGUUUUUUUGUUAAGCAAUACUAUUAUGCUCAGACUCUUUUUUUCCAUAGUCAUAUUAAACAUGCACAGCUUUGCACUGAUUAAAUCCCUGCACUGUUUACUUUUUGCACUACCACCACUGCAAAUCACUCUAUAGUUGCCCAUCAUGUAUCACAGGGUCAGUCCCUACCAGGCCUUUGUAAUCACUUGACAUGCUCUUCACUU
ensembl:lncRNA